rnacentral:rRNA from 1 species
UGGGCGUAAGCGCAUGCAGGUGGUUUGUUAAGUCAGAUGUGAAAGCCCGGGGCUCAACCUCGGAAUAGCAUUUGAAACUGGCAGACUAGAGUACUGUAGAGGGGGGUAGAAUUUCAGGUGUAGCGGUGAAAUGCGUAGAGAUCUGAAGGAAUACCGGUGGCGAAGGCGGCCCCCUGGACAGAUACUGACACUCAGAUGCGAAAGCGUGGGGAGCAAACAGGAUUAGAUAC